rnacentral:rRNA from 1 species
CUCGGUGAUGGCCCUGAACAUGCCUGAUCCUGUCUGAUCUCAGAAGAUAAACAAGGUCGGGCCUGGUUAGUACUUGGAUGGGAGACCACCUAGGAAGACCAGGUGUUAUAGACA